rnacentral:rRNA from 1 species
CGGGACGGGUGAGUAACGCGUGGGUAACCUGCCUCAUACAGGGGGAUAACAGUUAGAAAUGACUGCUAAUACCGCAUAAGACCACAGCACCGCAUGGUGCGGGGGUAAGAACUCCGGUGGUAUGAGAUGGACCCGCGUCUGAUUAGCUAGUUGGUAAGGUAACGGCUUACCAAGGCGACGAUCAGUAGCCGACCUGAGAGGGUGACCGGCCACAUUGGGACUGAGACACGGCCCAA